rnacentral:rRNA from 1 species
UACGUAGGGGGCAAGCGUUGUCCGGAAUCAUUGGGCGUAAAGAGCUCGUAGGCGGUUUGUCGCGUCUGCUGUGAAAACUCGAGGCUCAACCUCGAGACGCCGGUGGAAACCAUCAGGCUAGAGUCCGGAAGAGGAGAGUGGAAUUCCUGGUGUAGCGGUGAAAUGCGCAGAUAUCAGGAAGAACACCCGUGGCUAAGGCGGCUCUCUAGUACGGUACUGACGCUGAGACGCGAAAGCGUGGGGAGCGAACAGG